rnacentral:sRNA from 1 species
UUGACUCUGGAAGGCAUCAAGCAGUUUUUCGUGGCAGUGGAGAGGGAAGAGUGGAAAUUUGACACUCUGUGUGACCUCUACGACACACUGACCAUCACUCAGGCGGUCAUCUUCUGCAACACCAAAAGAAAGGUGGACUGGCUGACGGAGAAAAUGAGGGAAGCCAACUUCACCGUGUCCUCCAUGCAUGGAGACAUGCCCCAGAAAGAGCGAGAGUCCAUCAUGAAGGAGUUCCGGUCAGGCGCCAGGUGGGUCCGCUACGCUGUGGCUCUGCGGGUCAGGGUUUGCUAGACUGUGUGCUAAGCACUUCGUAUGCACUGCCUAAGUGCAGGCCCCACACCUGGGGGGAUGACAAGCUUCUGCUCUGAAAGCUGAGGCCCCGGGUGAGCAGAAAACCUUCUAGUUAAUGAGGGGUCCGCUGUGCUCUUGUAAUACUUAGGUCGAGGUGAUAACUAGCCUUAACUAGCCAGGUUGGUCACCUUGGUUACAAGCGUGUGUCUUCUUUUCCAGUAAGUAGGGGUUUUCUGUUCAUCGUCUCGAUUACUUUAAUUCCACAGUGGUCAGAAAGCAUGGAUUGGGUGGUUUCAUUCAUUUGAACUUGAAUCAGACUUCCUUCCUUGCCCACCUUGUGUGGUCAGCUUAACAAAUGUGUGCGCCUUUUUUUUUUUUUUUUUUGAGACAGUCUCACUUCGUUACCCAGGCCGGAGUGCAGUGGCAUAAUCUUGGCUCAUUGCAGCCUCUGCCUCCUGAUUUCAAGUGACUCCUGUGCCUCAGCCUCCCGAGUAGCUGGAAUGGCUAAUUUUUUUUUUUUUUUUUUUUUUGCAUUUUUA